GCGCCGAUGGUCUAGUGGUAUGACCCAGGCCUUCCAAGCCUGUGACCCGGGUUCGAAUCCCGGUCGGCGCA
rnacentral:tRNA from 1 species